UAACAUUGUAUCUGCUCAAACCUGCAGGGCAAACUGUUUCCCACUGAUCGGUGCUGUUUUAAAUGGACCACGUUAUGAAUAAAAAUGAAUGACUGCGAUGGGGGAGAGGCAAGGUGGAGCCCCACAUGGCCAUAAGCCACGUGGACACGGAGAGCACAUCCCCUGCCACAGCAUCAUUCACAAUAGCCAAGAUGUGGAAAUGA